AUGGUCGAUGAGUGUUUGUUGCUCACAGCGGUGGUGAUGGUGGUGGUGGUGUGGCUGCUUGGGAUUGACGAUGGUUGUUCGGUGGUGUUCUUUGGGGUUCGGCGGCGGUGCUUUUUGCGUCGUAGGGAAGCCAUCUGUUUCCCCUCGCGAAGGUGUAUCGCCCUGGUGCUGUGCUCAAGACCCUUCCCGCGGUUGCCAAGGUGGUGCGGCAAGGAGGACCUAGCUUCCAUGGAGAUGGAGAUGGAGAUGGAGAUGGAGAUGGAUGGGAAGAGCAACGGCGUGACCAAGGUGUGUGCAGUGGGGCAUUUUGUGUGCUUGAACUGUCGCGACAAGCUCCUGGAGACAAAGGAGAACAAGGUUUGGGGUGUGUGCUCCAGGGACGUCUCGACCCGCUGCCAUGACAUGGAGCGUGUCGUCGACUCCAUCAUCGUGCCAUGCUCAUAUGCCGUGCAUGGGUGCGGCGACACAAUCGCCUACCACAAGAAGAGGGCGCACGAGGAGGGCCAUUACCAGGCCUCAACGCUGGAUACGAUCAGGAGCACGUCGCUUUCUGACAGACUGCCGACAAACUACUUCCUCACCGUUCCCAAGGCUUGCCGUGGAGGUGGCACCCGUGUCGUGCUUAGCGUGACAAUUGAUACAGAGAUGGUGUAUGGAGACGAUGACGAACUAGAGGAGGAGGAUGAGGACGAUGAGAGCUACAACAAGGAGGAAGAUGAGGACGAGGACAACGAUGAAGACGAAGAUGAUGAGACUAGCGACGAGGAUGAUGAGAGCUACAACAACAAGGAGGAGGAGGCACAGGAGGAUGAGGAUAGUGAUAACCAUGAGGAUAAUGAGACUAGCGACGAGGAUGACGAAAUUUGGGAGGAGGUUAGGCACAACGAUUACUAUUGA
rnacentral:rRNA from 1 species